rnacentral:misc_RNA from 1 species
GAUGAAGAACGUAGCGAAAUGCGAUAACUAAUGUGAAUUGCAGAAUUCAGUGAAUCAUCGAGUCUUUGAACGCACAUUGCGCCCCCUGGUAUUCCGGGGGGCAUACCUGUCCGAGCGUCAUUGCUGCCCUCAAGCACGGCUUGUGUGUUGGGCUCCGUCCCCCCGGGGACGGGUCCGAAAGGCAGCGGCGGCACCGAGUCCGGUCCUCGAGCGUAUGGGGCUUUGUCACCCGCUCUGUAGGCCCGGCCGGCGCCAGCCGACAACCAAUCAUCCUUUUUUCAGGUUGACCUCGGAUCAGGUAGGGAUACCCGCUGAACUUAAGCAUAUCAAUAAGCGGAGGA